rnacentral:tRNA from 1 species
GGGGAUUUAGCUCAGUGGUAGAGUGCUUGCCUAGCAAGCGCAAGGCCCUGGGUUCCAUCCCCAGCUCCG